GGCAAAGCUAAAAUGUACUCAUUUGAAAGUACACGUGGAAGCUAGAGUACAGCUGUAUUAAAUGGAGAUGGUUAUCGGCAAAUUCCCUAAUACAAGAAAAUGGAACAUCUCAAGCACUUAAAUCAACAAGUGGGCACUGUACUCUUUAGGAGGACAACCUUCACCAUCCUGGAUCUAUACUAUGGAACUUACCAUGGAAACAGGAUACCAUGGAUAAUAGUGAAUCCCACUGAAAUGAACAACUUCGAGCACAGAGUCACCCUGGAUAACUAAGAAAAUUCCAGGAAAGAACGUAUUUUGUUGAAUGCGGUCGGUGAAAGGAAUCUCAAAUAUCAAGUGUAGGUGGAGGGGAGAACUGAAUCAAAAUAUCUGAAGCAAGGCAAAUGAGUGCUGGUCAAAUUAAUGUACAUCUAACAGCUCAGGUAAUUCUUUCUUUACCUAGUUCUCCACUGUCAUGAAGAACCCUGCACAUUUUUGGUUUUCUAGAUGCUGAGAUGAGAAAACUGAAAAAGAAAGCCUGAAUUAAACUGGAACUUAUUAGACUGCAAUUUGUUCUAGCAACAAGCUUAUUUUUAUGUCUUUCUACAAAACAGUGGUUUGUUUUUGUUUUGUUUUUUGCAAAAACUAGAGCCAAAUCAACAAAAAGAAUUUUCACAAUGCUAGGAGAGCUCAUUAAAAUACCCAACCUUUCAUGCAACCAAGAACAAAACAGCUGAAAAGGGAGAUUUAUCACAGCAAAAUCAGUUAAAAUGCCACAGAACCCUAUUUAGGUUCUGUGUGUCCAAUCACCAGUUACAAUAUGUUUCCUGUAAAGGCAGCAAUCAAUAAAAUGUGGAACCCCCACUGUUUUCUGGCAAACCAUUAACUGUUGUUGACUUUGAAUGUUUUCUGGUAAAACAUUAGUUGUCAAGUUGAUUUUGACUUAUGGCAGACUGCAUUAUCAACAGUUCUGCUCAGGUCUUGCAAAUUCGGGGUCAUGGCUAUCCAUCAGUAAUGUGCUCUGCUCCUACUGCUUUCUACCUUACGAAGCAUUAUUGUCUAAGGAGAAAACAUUUAUUCUGGAUUCCAGUUCCAGCUAAUAUUUGCUGUAUCUAUCAGGACAUAACAGGCUUUUAGAACAUAGUCAGUGAUGUUCUUUGGUGUCUACUGCCAUCCCUUCACACUCUGCAUGGCUAUGUCAGGACAGGCAUGAAAAAUGUGAGAGGAAAUGUUUCCUCACUGAAAAACUUCUAAAAAUGCAGUAUUCAAAGACCUUCCAACAACAAGAACAAAAUUGGUUCAAUUAUAUGUUAUGCUUAGUGGGAAUGAGAAAAUGAAAUACGAGGUAAGCACAUCACUGCUCUGGAUAUGCCACUCCAUCCUGCCCAGUGAUCCUCCACAGGCUGUGCCCAUGUCAGGUCCCAGACAUGCUGCAUGGUUCAUUAGAGCCUCAAGACUAAUUGUACAUAAGAACCUCCAAGACAUUUGACACAUGAAUGCAUUCAUAAUUUCUGCCCACUUCACAUAAAACUGAUAUUAUUAUGUCCAUAACGCAAUAUUACCCAUUCUGUUACU